AAGACUAUAGACCUGCGGAGUACCUGCGGAAGGAUCAUUAUUGAAUUAUGUUUCUAAAUGGGUUGUAGUUGGCUCGUCAGAGCAUGUGCACGCCUGUUUGGACUUCAUUUUCAUCCACCUGUGCACCUAUUGUAGUCUUUGGUUGGGUAUCAAGGAAGUGGUCAGCCUAUCAGCACUUGCUGGAUGUGAGGACUUGCAGUGUGAAAGCUUUGCUGUCCUUUACUUGAUCAUGGAGUUGUU
rnacentral:misc_RNA from 1 species